rnacentral:lncRNA from 1 species
GCUUAUGGUUUAAUGAAAUCGUGUUUGGAAAUGAGAUGAUUAUUUCUUUUAAAGUAAGAAUUAAUUUUCAAAACUACUAUCCACUCACUGAUCUCACUAAGUUUUAAACUCACCCCGUUUUUAUUAUAUUUUCCCCCCCUCACCAGGAGGUUGCAGGUACACCAGACCGACCCAGCGACUGUAAAUAUAUUUUGAGUCUUGGCCACGUGAUGGUGUCAGAAGAUAUAAAUGUUUUUGUUAG